UACGAAGGAUGCAAGCGUUAUCCGGAUUCAUUGGGUUUAAAGGGAGCGUAGGCGGACUUGUAAGUCAGUGGUGAAAUCUGUGGGCUUAACCCACAAACUGCCAUUGAUACUGCAGGUCUAGAGUACAGUUGCCGUUGGCGGAAUAUGACAUGUAGUGGUGAAAUACUUAGAUAUGUCAUAGAACACCGAUUGCGAAGGCAGCUAACGAAGCUGUAACUGACGCUGAGGCUCGAAAGUGCGGGGAUCAAACAGG
rnacentral:rRNA from 1 species